rnacentral:rRNA from 1 species
UACGAAGGGGGCUAGCGUUGUUCGGAGUUACUGGGCGUAAAGGGCGCGUAGGCGGCGCACCAAGUCAGGCGUGAAAGCCCUGGGCUCAACCCGGGAAUUGCGCUUGAGACUGGUGUGCUUGAGUACGGGAGAGGAUAGUGGAAUUCCCAGUGUAGAGGUGAAAUUCGUAGAUAUUGGGAAGAACACCGGUGGCGAAGGCGGCUAUCCGGACCGUAACUGACGCUGAGGCGCGAAAGCGUGGGGAGCAAACAGG